GUACAUCCAGAGAACUUAGCAGAGAUGCUUUGGUGCCUUCGGGAACUCUGAGACAGGUGCUGCAUGGCUGUCGUCAGCUCGUGUUGUGAAAUGUUGGGUUAAGUCCCGNAACGAGCGCAACCCUUAUCCUUUGUUGCCAGCGGUUCGGCCGGGAACUCAAGGGAGACUGCCGGUGAUAAACCGGAGGAAGGUGGGGAUGACGUCAAGUCAUCAUGGCCCUUACGGCCAGGGCUACACACGUGCUACAAUGGCGCAUACAAAGAGAAGCGACCUCGCGAGAGCAAGCGGACCUCAUAAAGUGCGUCGUAGUCCGGAUUGGAGUCUGCAACUCGACUCCAUGAAGUCGGAAUCGCUAGUAAUCGUAGAUCAGAAUGCUACGGUGAAUACGUUCCCGGGCCUUGUACACACCGCCCGUCACACCAUGGGAGUGGGUUGCAAAAGAAGUAGGUAGCUUAACCUUCGGGAGGGCGCUUACCACUUUGUGAUUCAUGACUGGGGUGAAGUCGUAACAAGGUAAGCGUAGCGAG
rnacentral:rRNA from 1 species